UUUUAUGAUUCCAGGUUCUGAAAGAGUGUCAGCUACUGGCAAAUCCAUACAGCUGACAAGAUGCAGGUCAACCUUCUGUCUCAGGACAACUGAUACCCCCUCUCCUGGAAACGGAAGACCCGGCCCACUUGACCACCCUUCUUCAAAUAGCACCACCCUCAACCGCACCCAAGCAAGACAGGCUGGCUCUCCAAAUCCAGCCAGGGGUCAGCCAUCCUAGUGUUCAGGAGUCAGAAGCCCAGGAGGAAAUAGCCCCAGGAGAUAUUAAAUACCGCCUGGAGCCCCUUCCCAAGGCUCCACUCCAGACGCAACCCCCAAGCUACUCCAACCAGCACAGCAAGCCUCAGUGGCUCCCCUUCAGUACAACCUAUGGAGAAUGUUAUAAGCCCAGGAGGAUACAGCCUGUGACUUACCAUGGGGAGAAACCCUCCCAUUCAGGUGACGACUAUAUGACCACUACUCAUCAGAUUUCCUUGCAGAGCCCUCUUCUUGGUCAGUCCACGUUCCCAGUUCAUAUUCAGGGCAGAAAAAUAGGACGAAUAGUGCGUCCAGGCCACAUGGAGUACACCAGCCAAUACCAGAGUGACUUCCAAGCCUCAGGGUGGAAUCAAGUCCUCAAAACUGACCCACACAAAAGAAGCCAGGGGAUCAAUGGAAAGGAUAACCUUCACUGGGAAGUGAACAGGGAUGUGAGCCUAGCAACAAAUAUACCCAGACUGUGCAGAAAGACAAUGCCUCUGGCUGGCAGCCCACUAUGCAUCAGCAUCCAAAGCCGAGAUGGGUGAAGCAGGAGAUGACCAUCCUGGGUAGGAAGAGCACUGUCAAGUUUGACGGAGGCACAGUGACCAGGGUAAAGUGCCCAAGCUCUCUGUCUAGAGGUAAUCAGCAUGAGGGUCCUAACUACUCCCUCAAGCCAAGGAGGGGAAUGGGGGUAGACAGGGAACAAAGGAAAACAUUUACCCCAGGACACCCCAACCCCACUUGUCUUGAGAAAUCCAGAAAUUUUCCUUUCCUGAAUCUACAGCCACUUAUGGACUCUGAUAUUUGUCCCUGACCACAGAGGUGAGGUACGUAUGCUCUUAACAUAUGCUGGCCACGUGGUAAGUACUUAACAAAAGAUAGCAAUUAAAAUCAUCAUUAUUAUUAUUUCCCCAGACAUGCAUUCCUCUCUUCCCAGAUGUCUUAUCUACCUCCUCCCAAAUCCCUGGUAAAAAGAGUCAAGGGUAAGUGCCCCUCUAGCACAUUCAGGGUCUUCAAAGCCAAGUUACAAACUGAAACUACCAGCAAGCAAUUCUUCCAGGACUGUAGAACUCAGCCCCAAGUAUGCUACGGAGACCUUCAUCACAGAGGCUAUGAGAAGCCCCUGAGUGUGGGUUUGCAGGCACCACCUCAGGAUCAAACUACCACCAGGACCUCCUACAUGCCCUUGUUUUCUGAAAGGUUGAACCUCUGUAAGCCCAAGGUCAACAGCAGCAAAUGGGAGCCAAACACAAUUUCUCUACUGAGCAAAGGAAAACAUUCAGACCAGUCCAGCUGCCUGAAAGCCGGCUCCAGAAGUACUUUUGACAAGAGGACUCAAAAUCCCCCAAAAAUAAUAAUAAUUGGGAGAAAGAAACCGCCCAAAUAACCUAUGCAAAAAUGCACAGUUGGGCACUCAUAUCGAACCUUAAAACUGAGGUCCCACCAUAACUACCUCAUAGCACAGACUCAGUUUUCCCGCUGGGAUUUCCCAGUCACACCCUGACCCUAAUACAACUCUUUGAAACUAA